AUUGAACGCUGGCGGCAGGCCUAACACAUGCAAGUCGAACGGUAACAGGAAGCAGCUUGCUGCUUUGCUGACGAGUGGCGGACGGGUGAGUCAUGUCUGGGAAACUGCCCGAUGGCGGGGGAUAACUACUGGAAACGGUAGCUAAUACCGCAUAACGUCGCAAGCCCAAAGAGGGGGACCUUAAGGCCUCUUGCCAUCGGAUGUGCCCAGAUGGGAUUAGCUAGUAGGUGGGGUAACGGCUCACCUAGUCGACGAUCCCUAGCUGAUCUGAGAGGAUGACCAGCCACACUGGAACUGAGACACGGUCCAGACUCCUACGGGAGGCAGCAGUGGGGAAUAUUGCACAAUGGGCGAAAGCCUGAUGCAGCCAUGCCGCGUGUAUGAAGAAGGCCUUCGGGUUGUAAAGUACUUUCAGCGGGGAGGAAGGGAGUAAAGUUAAUACCUUUGCUCAUUGACGUUACCCGAAGAAGAAGCACCGGCUAACUCCGUG
rnacentral:rRNA from 1 species